rnacentral:lncRNA from 10 species
CUGCUGCAGCAGGCCUGGGGGACGGAGGGAGCCCAGAGCCCAGGGGUCAGCUCCACCUUUACUGACGUCCCUGCCCCCAGCCUUCCCUCCCAGCCACAGCUUGGCCCGUCCCAUCCAGCUGUCAGUGUGGCCAGUGCAGCCAGUCGAGCCACAGCCUCAGUGUUUUCCUCUUGACCCUGCCUCCUGCCGCCACUUGUUUCCAGGGAAACCAGGACCCGGCCCCAGCCAUGUAAGGGAAGGGAUGCCCUCCCGGGCUCUGGGAGAUGUGCGUGUGCGGGAUGCCACGUGACACAGCUGAACCUGAGGGGCCACUUUUGGCAAAGGCAGUGCGACAGGCCCGUGUCACGGGACCCGUGGUCGCCGUGGUGAUCCGCGUGGCAGCGCCGGGACUGCGGCCCUCAGGUGGUGGAGCCACCCCGCAGAGUCGCGCUCAGGGACAGCCGGGUGACCACGGGCUGUGGAGCUGGGCACUGCGCUCCAGGGCAGGGCUUAUGCCCUGAACCCGUAAGCAGUGCAUCCUCAGCCUCUCCUCCCCAAUCCUGCAUCCCCUCCUGCAACCAGAUACCGCCAAGGGCCGAGAGCCCAGUCUGAGCAGAGGACACUGAGGCCACCGCCACGCCAGGGCAGCUACUCCAUUUUCAAGUGAACCUGAGCACAGCUCCUGGGUUGCAUGAGGGGUGGGCUUGGUGGUGCCAAGCAAGAAAGGACAGGCAUAGCGCCGGGGCUGACUGCGUGGGUGUGGGCUCAGGACCUGGAGGCCGUAGCUCGAGCACUCAGUCCAGCAGCCAGGAGCGGCUCCAGCAAGGGCCAGGCUGUGACCAGGGCUGGCUCAGACACCGCCGUGAUCCCAGGAGGAAUGAGCUGAUGGUGGGCUCCAGGGGUUACCGCCAGAGAGACCCAGGCUGAUGGAAUGACUGCUGCCUAGAACAUUGCAGGUCUUCCCAGAUGAGACACAGAGGCUCUGGAGGGUCGUGCAAUAAUACUGCCUCACCGGAAGCUGAGCCUGGUACACGCAGAGCCCACAGGACACCCACAAGAGUCACAUACCUGCCAUUGACCACCUCUGGGCUUUUAAUACCGAAACUUCAAAGAACUUAUGUGUCUCUCAUUACACUUGCUAGCAAUAUUUAUACAGGAACAUGUUGUAUUUAUAUCCCCAAAAAUCAGUAAGAGAAUUUUAACAAAACCAUGUAUGGGAAAAGUCUUAAGUCACAUUUCAGAAACAAUGUGUAGUGGUUGUAAUAACAUGGGGGCAUUUUGCAAAGUUUGAGAACCAACAAAGAGGCGUGCGCACAGCCAGGGUGGGGCUGGGGCUCCUGCAGAGAGAUUUGCUCCACCCUGCGUUCAGGACGCCACCUGCACGAAAUGUUAAGUUCACCUGCGUGUCGUGUGUGUUACUGGCAUACACGCUUCCCUGGUUUAUAGUAACAUUGUAAUUUUUCUCAUUUUUUAAAAGUAAUCCCAGCACUUUGGGAGGCCGAGGCGGGCGGAUCACGAGGUCAGGAGAUCGAGACCAUCCUGGCUAACACGGUGAAACCCCGUCUCUCCUAAAAAUACAAAAAAUUACCCGGGCGUGGUGGCGGGCGCCUGUAGUCCCAGCUGCUCGGGAGGCUGAGGCAGGAGAAUGGCGUGAACCUGGGAGGCAGAGCUUGCAGUGAGCGGAGAUCGUGAGCUCACUGAGUGAGCGAGACUCCGUCUCAAAAAAAAAAAAAAAAAAAUUUUGUGUUUUUUGAGACAGGGUCUCCAUCUGUUGCCCAGGCUGGAAUACAGUGGUAUGAUCACAACUCACUGCCAUGAGUCUGGGAGCCUCGACCUCCAGAGCUCAAGCAAUCCUCCCGUCUCAGCCUCCCAAAUAGCUGGGACCAUAGCAGUGUGCCACCAUGCCUGGCUAAUUUUUGUAUUUUCUGUAGAGAUGGGGGUCUCACUAUGUUGCCCUGGCUAGUCUCGAACUCCUGGGCUCAAGUGAUACUCCCACCUUGACCUCCCAAAGUGCUUGGAUUAAGGCGUGAGCUACCACACCUGGCCAUUUUUCUCAUUUAAAAUAGAUUAUUGGCCGGGCAUGGUGGCUCAUGCCUGUAAUCCGAGCACUUUGGGAGGCUGAGGCGGGUGGAUCACUUGAGGUCAGGAGUUUGAGACCAGCCUGGCCAAUAUGGUGAAAUCCCAUCUCUACUAAAAUACAAAAAUUAGCCGGAUGUGGUGGUGGUCACUUGUAAUCCCAGCUACUGGGGAGGCUGAGGCAGGAGAAUGGCUUGAACCCAGGAGGCAGAGGUUGCAGUGAGCUGAGAUCGCACCACUGCACUCCAGCCUGGGCAAUGAAGUGAGGUUCCAUCUCAAAAUAAUAAUAAUAAUAAAAUAAAAUAGAUUCUCAACUGAAGGUUCUUGGUAUUAAGUGGAGACAUUAAGUGGAGGGCGUGUGUGUGAGUGCCAGUGGCACCCGCGGACGCUUUUUUCAAAUGACGUGUAUUCAUGGCAUGGACUGCCAUUUUUCACAUUUUCUGUUGACUUUCAUUGGUUGGUGCUGCAAAUGAGCAGGUCACGCUAAGGCUGUGGGUAAUCGCCGCCAUCCUCACUCCUCAGCUGAUCCUUCCCAUGCCCAGAGAGGCUGAAAUAAAAAUGAAAUUUAUAAUCCUGGCAGGGCGCGGUGGCUCACGCCCGUAAUCCCAACACUUUGGGAGGCCGAAGCGGGUGGAUCACGAGGUCAGGAGAUCGAGACCAUCCUGGCCAACAUGGUGAAACCCCGUCUCUACUAAAAAUACAAAAACAAAAUUAGCCGGGCGUGGUGGCAGGCGUGUGUAGUCCCAACUACUCGGGAGGCUGAGGCAGGAGAAUGGCAUGAACCCGGGAGGUGGAGGUUGCAGUGAGCCGAGAUCGUGCCCCUGCACUCCAGCCUGGUGACAGAGCGAGAACUGUCUCAACAACAACAACAAAAAAGAAGAAAUUUAUAAUCCUUUGAGUAUUAUAUAUUAUAAAGUAACCAGGAUCUAGUUGUUUCGUUUUGUUUUGUUUUUUACCAAUUGGAAUAAUUCACGUUUAAUGUUUCCAAACCCUUCUGCCUGCAACCGCCGUCCUGGGGAUGAGAAAUCUCUGGGGAGGAGGAGUUUGGGGGCCAGCAUCUUGUGUCGGGGCAUGGGUUGUUGAGAUGACGCUAGCACCCCCCAUCCCCCGCCCCUGCCUACUGGGCUGGUUUCCCCUCCAGGGGGUGAGGUGGCGCCUCCCAGAUGGGACACAGCCUGCUGUCCCCACUUUAGUCAGAAAGCAGGAGUGAGACAGGUGGCCGGGACGAGACGCUGGGGCUGGUAGGCGCUUUGCUGCCAUCUGCUGGGGAGCCCGCAGCAGCCGCCGCCGUGGACCUUGUGCUGGUGGAAAGCACAAAACCACUGUCCACGUGAAGGCCGCCCAUGUCCUGGCAGCGCCCCUGAGGGGUGGCCUCCUGCAACCACCCACCUGCAACCACCCACCUGCAACCACCCAGGGGGCUGCAAAGCCACUCUGCUCGUGCUGGCCUGGCCUCUGAACCUAUCACAACAUAAGACAGAAGAGGACUGAAUGGGGUGCGGCCCAGCGUACGCUGCUCAGCCUGGUCUUCGUGAAUGGGCUCCAUCCAGCCUCUGUCCUCAGAGACGGCAGGUGGUGCCUCAUCUUCCUGGCAGACCUGGAGGGAGUGUGGGUAGAGUGGGACCCAGCCAGGAGUCCAGGCCCUGAAGCCAAGGGCAGGCCCAUGUCUCCACCACCCCACAGUCUAGCAUCCUCAGACCAGGCCCAAGAGAAGCCCCACUCCUGAGCAGGGGGAGGGAAGGGGAGGCCGGGGACUCAGGCAGCUGCCCCCUAGAGUGGGAAGGAAGGGCCCCAGCGUUUCCCAGCUCUAGCCCCACUUAGCUUUUGGUCCCUUUGCUGUGGUCCCCAGGGGUGUGGCUUCCUCGGGGGGCUGAAGCCAGCAGUCCCUCAGCAAACACGCACAGGGCUCCAGGGUGGGGGAUAAGACUCUGCCCCCAAAAGGCUCUGAAAUGUGUCAGGAUGUGACAUGGUGGAACUGACCAGGUUUCCAGCAGGUCUGCGGGGCUGAGGCUUGCAUCCCCUGGGAGGCUGACAUGCGCUGUCUGGCACGGAAGGUGGAUAUCCCCUCAGCUAUGCCUUCUUUGUUCACUGGCUGGAAUACUUCCGCGAUGACAAACCUCCCUCUCAUGCUGUUUGGUUACCCAGCGGCCCAUCUGCAUAGGAAAGACAGAAUAAGAGCUUGAUUCUUUUCUUUUAUUUAUCAAUUUUAAAAAUGUAAGCUUGUUGCCGGGAUCUCCUAAGGACGAUCAGUUAAUUUUUUUUUUUAACUCAGGGAUUUAAGCGGGUGAGUUGAGUAAGCUGAAGGUGUCCCAUCUUCCGAACGCGUUUCUAGGACGGCAAAGCCUCCUGUUCCGAGACGGGUAGAGCAGGAAGCCACUUCCCACAGAUCACAGCUGCCCCAUCCCUUCAGGGCGUCCUGCCUUGCCUCGAACUCCUGGGCUCAAGUGGUCCAUUCCCUUUCCUUAGAGUGUGGGAUGAAUGCCUCCAGGAGAGAGGUUCCUCCUCCGGGUCAGCAGCUGCAGCUACCUAAGCAUUCUCUUCCUCACCCAGCAGGGCCCGCAGCCCAGGGUUAUGGCGAGACUCCAGUUCAGGGUGGCGGCUGCCAGGGAGCUGUGGGUUGGUCGGCUGGAACCAGCUGAGGCCUCAGAACCAAGAAGCCCUUCCAUGCCAGGCCCAGGGAGGAGGAGCCUGUUGACAGCGUUGUCCCUGGGACCUGGUGGGCAAACAGGCCGGGGGCGAGAGCUUGGGACCCAGAGACCCGGGUCCUGCCUGCAUAUGAUCCAGUAGGGAGGGCAAGCUGGUCUGCCCCCGAGGCCCAGCCACCGUGCUGGGCUGUCCUGAGAGGCCCUGGAGGACAGGUGCGAUGCUCGGUGGGCUGUCUCCACAAUAUACAAACAUCAGUUGUAUUUCAUGCUAGCAGUAGGCAAUCCAAACAUGAGACUAAGCAAACAGCUCCACACACAAUAGCACUGCAAAUAAUAAAAUACUCAGGAAUAAACGUAGCCAAAGAAAGUCAAGACUUGUAUAUUUAAGACUAGAAAACAUUACUGAAGGAAAUGAAGAGGACAUGAUUGAACGGAAAGUCAUCUCAGCAUCACUCCCCAAGCUGACCUGCAAAUUCAGUGCAAUCCCCAUCACAAUUCCACUGUCUCCUGCCUGGGGGCUGCCCCUCCCCAUAUCAGCCCUCUGCCCAGGACACAAGACUGCUGGGUGGCCUUGUGUGUGUGUUGGGGUGGGAGGGCUCCACUCCUGUCUGUGGCGUGCAGCCCUGCUCAAUGCAUUCCCAGCACUGAAGAACGGCCUCUCCCAGGGCCCAGCAGUUGGGGCAGCCUUCCUCCUGAGGUAGGAGGCAGGACUCAACUCCGGAGGUGGGGUUUGGACACUGGACCAAAGUGAGGAUUAGCUAAAACAAGUGUCUUACAGGGAGGUGGAAGCACCUCCCUGUAAGACACGCCCACCAGUGUGCCAUGUCAUUUUACCAUUCCGUGGUAACACCCAGAAGUUACUGCCCCUUUCCAUGGCAACAACCAGACAAGCCAGAAGUUGCCACCCUCAUCCUGGAAAUUUCUGCAUAAACCGCCCCUUAAUUUGCAUGUAAGUAAAAGUGGGCAGGCUGGAUGCCCUGGUUCAUCCCUGUAUUCCCAGCACUUUGUGAGUCCGAGGUAGGAGGAUCACCUCGGCCCAGGAGUUCAAGGCUGCGGUGAGCCCUGAUGGCGCCACCAGACUCCAGCUUGGGUGACAGAGCAAGACCCUGUCUCAAAAAAAAAAAAAUUUGGGGUAUAAAUUUGACUUCAGCCCUGCCUCAGCUGCGACUCUGGGUGCACUGCCUGUCGGGUGGUCCCUGUUCUCAAGGAGCAGCCCCUUUGCUGCAGGUCUGGUUGGCCACUUAGUAACAGUUGCUGUCUAGGCUGGGUGCAGGGGCUCACUCCUGGAAUCCCAGCACUUUGGGAGGCCAAUGUGGGCGGAUUGCUUGAGCCCAGGAGUUCAAGACCCGCCUGGGCAACAUGGCAAAACCCCGUCUUUACAACAAAAAAAUACAAAAAUUAGCUGGGUGUGGUGGCACACGUCUGUAGUCCCAGCUACUCGGGAGACUGAGACAGGAGGAUUGCUUGAGCCCAGGAGGUCAAGGCUGCAAUGAGCUAUGAUGGCACCACUGUGCUCCAGCCUGGGCGACAGAGAAAGAUCCUGUCUCAAAAAAUUAAAAGUUGCUGUCUAACACACCGGCUCGUCCUUGAAUUCUUUCCCAGGCUCAGCCUCAAUUUUGGGGCUCACCUGUCUGGCAUCGCUGCUGCUUCUGGAAUGUUCAGGAGCCCACAUGUUUCCUGAUUGGGGUCAGCCAUUUUGAUGAUGAAAUUUGUAAUAUUAAGUUGUUUCGUUGGGACUUUUCAGAACCAGGUGAAUACACAGCAGAUAAAACACCUUGGAGGCUGGGCGUGGUGGUUGAAGCACUGGUAUUUCCAUCAGCUCAGUGUGAGAGCUCUGGUUGCUGUACCUCCCAUCAACAUUUGACAUGUUUAGUCUUUUUAAAUUUUCAGGCAUUCUAGUGGGUGCAUGAUGGUGUCUCACUGUAAUUUUAAUUUCUAUCUUCCUAAUGACUAAUGUUCUUGCAUCUUUUUAUGUGCUGUUCGCCAUCCAUAUAUCUUCACUGGUGAAAGGUCUGUUGAAAUCUUUUGUCUAUUUCUAAAUUGGAUUAUUUCUGUUUAUUGAGUGCUGGGGGUUCUUUGUAUAUUCUGGAUACAAGUCCUUUAUCAGUUAUGUGAUUUACAAGUAUUAUUCCCAGUCUGUGGCUUGUCUUUUUAUUUUCUUAACAGUGUAUUUUAAAGGGCAUAAGUUCCUAAUUUUGAUGAAGUCCAAUUUAUCGAUCUCUUUCUUCUAUAGAUCAUAAUUUUAGUGUUAUAUUUCAGAAAUAUAACUCAAAAAUGACAAAGAUUUUUCUCUUACAUUUUCCUUUAGAUGGUUUAUCAUUUUAGAUUCCAGUUGUGAUCCAUUUUGGGAUAAUUUUUGCACAUGGUGUGAGAUUAAUUUUUUGCAUAUAGAUGGUGAAAAGAUCAUUAUUUUUUCACUGAAGUUCUUCUGUACCUUUACUUAAAAUCAAAUGACAAUAGAUGCAUGGGUCUAUUUCUGGACUCGGUUGAUCUAUAUUUCUGUGUUAAUAUCAAUACCUCGCUGUCUUGAUUACAAUAGACUUGCAACAGCCCUUCAAGUCAGAUGGUGGACGUCCCCUCAAUUCACUUUUCUUUUUCAAGGUUGUUUCAGCUGCUCUUGGUCCUUUGCAUUUCCAUAUUAAUUUUAGAAUCAGUUUGUCAAUUUCCACACACAAAAAAACCUACUGGAAUUCUGAUUGGGUAGCACUGACCUGUAGUUCAAGUUGGAGAGCAUAUCUCAGCAAUAUCGAGUCUUCCAGUACAUGAACAAGGUCUGUCUCUACAUGGACUUAGGAGUUUAAUUUCUCUCAUCAAUGUUUGGCAGUGUUCAGUGUUCAGGUCUUGCACAUCUUAUCAGAAUUAUUCAUAUUUCACAUUUUUGAUGCUAUUUUAAGUAAUGUUUUAAAUUUCACUUUAUAAUUGUCCAUUAUUAGAACAUAGACGUACAGCUGAUUUUUAUAUCUUGAUCUUGUUUCCCACAGUCUGGCUAAACUCAAUAGUUCUAGUUGUUUUUCUGUAGAUUCUAUCAGAUUUUCUACAUGGGUAAUCAUGUCAAUGGCAAAUAAAGACAGUUUUACUUCUUCCUUUUCAAUAUGGAUGCCAUUUGUUUGUUUAUUAUUUAUCUAUCUUUUCUUUUUGCCACUGGCUAGAAGCUUCAAUACAAUGUUGCCCUUUUUCCUGAUCUUAAGGGAAAGCAUUUGGUUUUUCAUCAUUAAAUAUGAUGUUAGCUGUAGAUUUUUCAUAGAUGCCCUUUAUCCGGUUGAGGAGGUUCUCUCUUCUUCAAUUUCUUGGAAGCGUUUUUACAGAAUUGUUAUUGUUUUUCCUUAAAUGGGACAUUGAGUUUGCAGUAAGCCAUGAUGGUCCACGGCAGUCCAGCCUGGAUGACAGACGGAGACCCUAUCUCUUAAAAAAAAAUGCAGGUUCGGGCCGGGUGCGGUGGCUCAGGCCUGUAAUCCCAGCACUUUGGGAGGCUAAGGCGGGCGGAUCAUGAGGUCAGGAGUUCCAGACCAGCCUGGCCAACAUGGUGAAACCCCAUCUCUACUAAAAUUACAAAAAUAAGUCGGGCAUGGUGGUGGGCACCUGCAAUCCCAGCUACUCGGCAGGCUGAGGCACAAGAAUUGCUUGAACCCGGGACGGGGAGGUUGCAGUGAGCCGAGAUUGUGCCACGGCACUCCAGCCUGGAUAACAGAGCGAGAUUCAUCUCAAAAAAAAAAAAAAAAUGCAGGUUCUGAUCAGCGGGUUUUCCAUGAAAGGUUCACUUAUGCAAAGCAACCCUCACAUGAGGACGGAGCUGAGAAACCAAAGAAUGAGGCUGACAGAUUCGGUUUGUCAGGAGAGGGUGCUCUACUGGGGAACCUGCCACCAGGGGUGGCCUUGGGUGGGACAGGUGCAGCUCUGCACUGUUGCUCCCCAGACCCAGGGCUCAGCUUCUCUGUAGGGAAAGGCUCUGCAUGCUCCACACAGGCAAGAACGCAACAUCGCCUGUCAUCUGUGUAAUAACAUCAAGGCUGCUCUGAUGGAAAGGCAGGAUUCAUAGCGAGUGCACGUUCUUACACUAAGGACAGUAGAUACGGCAGGAAUCGGGGCAUUCCCAGGACGGCGGCUCAUCAGAAGUCUGCACGGUGGAGUAGAACCUAACACGGAGUCACUUCUGUCUCCACAG